GUCUCCGCGCCGAGCAUAGGCGGCCUGGAUGACCCUCACGUGCGAGGGCAGCCCCUCCCAGAAGCGGUGCACCCGGGCAGGCCGGGGCGACACCAGCUGUCCUGAGGGCUGGAGGCGCCAGAACCAGGGGCCUUAGGGGAAACGUUGAAGCCUGUGGUGGGGGUCACCUGAAGUGUACAGGAAGCCAACCAUGGUGCCCAGGAAGUCAGGGACCAACCAAAGGGACUUACCUUUGAAAAAGAAGGUUUCACCGCGGAUGUUGGCAAUGGCAUCAAAACUGCCCUCACAUCGAUCAGGGACAGGUGCGGAGGGGCUGGGUAGGAAAGCUGCUGCAGGCCAUCACGGUCAUCCUGGGACAGGCGGUACUUGUCAGGGUCACCCACUGGGCCCUGGUAGAAGGGCCUCAUAAUGGAGUUGGGUGCGGAGGAAUGGCCCAGACCCAGGGCGUGGCCAAACUCGUGAACAGCUACAGCAAACAGUUGGUGGUGCUGAUACUGGGUACAGGGAUGAAGAGACCCAAGAAUGGAUAGAGGAAGAGUGACCUUACACAAGUGCAGCCCCUCUCUUGAAGGGAAGACUGCAUAUAGAAGCUCAGAGCAGCAAGAACCCUGGGUGCCUGUAGUUCUCUCCAGGAAACCGGUGCUUUGGAGCAUUCCCUCCUCUAAGAUCUAGUCCAUGAGCAGAGGAACAUGGAGCUCCCUCCAGCAUGCACUCUCAGACCACAGCCUCUCUCUCAGCCUCUUCCCACCACAGAAGCUUCUUCCCUGGAGAUCCAGCUCCAGCGACUGAGGGCCUAGUUCCUCAUCGAUCUGCCUGGCUCCUGCUCCGGUCAAAGGCCCCACCCAGAAGAGGCAGUGACAGAGCCAGGCAACACAUCAGUGGGCAUAUAUUUCUGCAGAUGUUGAUCUAGUUUGUGGGAAUCUCUAACUAGGGCUAGCAACAUUGAAAACAGCAUUAUUGGAAAUGGCCUGGUGAAUUGAAAAGCAAGUUUCUCUAAGCCCCUGAGGGCUGAUACCUAAGUAUGGAAGCGGUAAAUCCUAAGAGGCCUCAUUUACCUCUCAAACCUCUACUUCCUAUCCUGAUUUUACAGAGGGGGGAUUGAGGCCAAAUGCCCUGCCUGUGCACCCUCAAAACUGCAAAUGUCUGAUCAAUUUCCACAUUGACUGCAGGUCUUAUUAUUGCUCCAAAUCCUUUUUCUGAGAAAUUGGAGGAAGUUUGGAGACUCAAUACGACGAGAGCUUUGUUCUCUCACCUUCUUCCCUUGCUUCAUCUCUACUUUGGUGACAUGGGGUUUUCUGAGCCAGGCACCCCUUCCUGCACCCUUCUCACACUAUGCAGCUGGGGAAAUUACACAACCGUGCAGGCCUAGCCCCACCAGAGUCCUGAUGGGUAGUGUGCAAGGGACCUGACACCUCCUAUCAUUCCUGCCCUUGUCCCAGCAAGCAACUCCUCUACUCUCUCCCCUCAGCCUCCUUUCCAUGUCCACAAGGCCCCAAAGCUGCAACCCAGUCAUAAGUCCCACCUUCAGAUGACAGAUGCUAACAAGCACACAUCCUGUUUCAUCAAGUCCAAUGGAAUCUGUGACUUGUAGUAUACCUGGGGCAGAUACCCAGUCACACUGCUUUCUGCAGUCCCUCCUCAGCCAUGUUCCUUAGUCAAUAAUCUAAACUCAGUCUAGUUCUUUAGCUCCUUUCAUACCUGAACCCAUUGCACUGAUGGAGUCUGCAGACACUAAGAAUGUCACUUGUUUCCUGGAUGACCAAAUCUAAUGCCCGUAAUUUACUGGGUUUGUUUGCUGUAGCCAUUGCUGACCACUUCCUCCUUGAUUCUUGUUCUUCAUCACCUUUUGGCCUGUUCUUUCUCCAUCUCUGUUAAUUCCUCUUCCCCAGCCACCCACCUCUUAGUCCUGGGGCUCUCCACAGCUCUGUCCUUAACCUUUCUUUACAUGCUACAUUUUCUUCCUGGUAAGCUUACAAACCCCAAGGACACUAACUCUGCCCCCAGGUCCAGCUCUAAUAAGGGUUGGCAGUGCUUAAAGCACUGUUCUGCACCAGGCUCUGAGCAAGUAAAGGGCUGGAGGUGGAUUACUCAUCUAAUCUACAGACCACACUGCCAGCAGGUACUGUUCCCAUCCCCCAUUUCUCAGCUGAGGAAACUGAGUGCAACGUGGUUAAGUAACUUGUACACAUUACAAGUGGAGGAACCCUGACUUGAUUCAGCUUCAAAGCCCACCUGCUUGGGUUAUGGGUGCAGCCCAGUGAUACAGCACUUGCCUAGCAUCUGAGAGGCCAUAGGUUCCAUAUCCAGAACCACAAAAAUAUAUAAAUAAAAAAAUUUAAAAGC